rnacentral:lncRNA from 1 species
AGCUUUGGCAAUCCAAAUCUUUUCCUAAUUGUUUUAUUUGCAAUGAUUCCAAAGCUGGGUGGGUAAAGAUCUCUUAAGUCUUUCUGUGUUUGAAUAAACCUAGAGGAAAGUUUUGAAGGUUGAUGUACUCCUGGUUUUAGGUCACUUAAAGGAAAAUCCAUCGGAAAGAAUCAGACAUAAACCUCUGCCUUCCAGUGGGACAACAUAACCAGGCCUUUCUUACCCGACAGUGCAACUGAAGGACCUGCCGUGCUGCACCUGGAUGUGGUGGAAAGUUCGAUGGCUUCAGCAGCUCUGAGCUGUGCUCCAGCUGCCCAGCAUGAUGUCUGCUUAAAAGGGCAGCUGUGCAACCAGGGAACACACCUGAUUAUUUCCUGAUCAGGGCUGUCCUGCGUAAAGGAGUGGUUUCCACUGUGUACCAUCCGGACGUGCAAUCUUCCCCUCCAGCACUGCUACUCCUUUCUCUGCUCUUGUCCUGGAGGUGGCUACAGAGGAGGCUUGAGAGUCCUGUGGGUCCCCUGCACUCAGCCUGUGCC